GUAGGGGGCAAGCGUUGUCCGGAUUUAUUGGGCGUAAAGCGCGUGUAGGCGGCCAUGCAGGUCCGUUGUGAAAACUCGAGGCUCAACCUCGAGACGUCGAUGGAAACCGCAUGGCUAGAGUCCGGAAGAGGAGAGUGGAAUUCCUGGUGUAGCGGUGAAAUGCGCAGAUAUCAGGAAGAACACCCGUGGCGAAGGCGGCUCUCUGGGACGGUACUGACGCUGAGACGCGAAAGCGUGGGGAGCGAACAGGAUUAGAUACCCUGGUAGUCCACGCCGUAAACGAUGGGUGCUAGGUGUGGGAGGUGUCGACUCCUUCCGUGCCGCAGCUAACGCAUUAAGCACCCCGCCUGGGGAGUACGGCCGCAAGGCUAAA
rnacentral:rRNA from 1 species